GAAACCCGAGCCCGCGCGCAGCCCGGCCCUGCUGCCUCCGGGCCGCUCGGGUCCCAGGGCGCGCCUCGCGCGUGGGAAGCCAGGCACGCGAGGGGCGGGUGGGAACCGGCGCGGCCGGAAGGGGCGGGAGCGCGGCGGGGGCCCGGGGAAGGGAGCGAGCCCGCGAGCGGCUGUGGGCGUGGGUGGAGCCAAGGCGGAGUGUUGGUGGCCUGGGGCAAGACGGCGAGGCUGGCGCUGCGCGGCUCGCCGGGUGCGAGCGGGCGAGUGGGAACGCCGGCGGAAUCUGGAAGUGGGAGGGCUGCCACAGCAAAGAGAACACCAAAGCUGCUCCAGCCCACCCAGGCUGGAGGGCUAGGGGACACCCUGUCAUGCGUACUUCCACGUGUCUGAGUUCAACCCCCAAGGCCUCCACCUGAAGUCCUGGCUGCCACACCCCGGAAGCGUGAGGCAUGAGCUGAGGGGACGCAGACUGAUGACAUCUUUAAAGGCACAGAGAUUGCGUCCCAAAAAAGUGAAAGGUGAGAUUGUAAGCGUGUCUGGAAGGCGCUGCAGGCCUUAAUAGAGUCUCUUUCCAUGCGGAGUGGAGGGUUCUCCUUUGGCCACCCAGCAAGUCCCAAAGAAAGAGGCGGCCAGCUGAGGCUCCAGCCAGCAACCAGGGGGCGGGGCACAGUGCAACGGGUGCUGGAAAGAUGAGUGCCAUCUGUGGAAGGGGAAUGAGGGUUUUCAUCAGGGGCUGCCAGCUCAUAGCAGCUUGGGGGCUAUUGCAGUGGCCCCAAAGCACCUGUUUUUGAGCGCUAAGCCUCCCCCACGUAUCAGCAGGGACACCUUCAGUCCAGGGAAUAGGAAGACCAGGCUUUGCUAGGCCGUGCAACAUGGGAGAAGGCUGAGGUGGGUGGCAGUGCCUGGUACAUAGUAACAUUGGGAAUACACCUGAGGGUCUAGGUGGGGCCGCCCCUGGAGUGAUGGCAGCAGCUGAGGUGGUGCCACCAGCUACCACUGCAGCUGGACCUGGGGGCACUGGCUGCCUCCCCCCGGAGUCUCCCAGACCUUAGACCUCUCCAGCAGGUCUGACCACUUUGCCCUGCCCUUGCCUGCAUGCAUACCUCCGCCAUGACCACUGGUGGGCCUUCCUGUACUGCAGACAAAAACCGAGGUGGCCCUACUUACGGACCUCAAGGCACCCAUGCGGUCUAGACCUCUUCAGAGGGGGCCAGGUGCUCCCCACUUCUGUGUCCACAUCUCCUGCCUCCCUGCACAUAAGCCCGAACCCACCUUUGCAGAUUCUGGUCACCUGCAACACCUCCCCGAGCCAUUCCGCGUUGGCCUGGCCUCUCUGCGCCCAGUGUGGAGAAGGAAGGUAAGUUAACGUGGAACAGUCGUCAACAGACAAGCUUAUGGUUUGAUUGACACUGGAUGGUAAACUGAGGCCCAGAGAACCCAGCAAUUUAGCCCCAAGGACACAAAGCCACCCGGGGGUGGGAGAUGGAACGCCUGACCCCAGUCUUACGCUUUUACCAGCUGAGCCACCUCACAGGUGAUCUUGCUGGCCUGAGCACAGCAUGAGAAGGCCGUGUCAUCCCAGGAGGUCAGAGCUUCUUCUUGCAGCAUAGCGUGCUCUGGCCAAUGGCAAAGUGGUCCCAUAUUUCUGUUGGAGAAGCCUGGGCUGGAGGCUUCCUUAUUCCCCUGCCACAGCCACCUAGGUCUGCUUGGCAUGCUGUCUGGAAAAGGACAUCCAGAGUGCCAGGCAGAACAAGCUGUCACUAGUGCAGAGGCUGCAGCCACCCCGUGCAGUGUGAGGGAGAGCACAGACUGGUCCAGGCCCCCUGCACAGUCUCCACCCUGUACAUGUUCCUAACCAGAGUCAUGGUCUCCAAGGGGCAGAUGGGCACAGCUCCAAGAGGACCAGAUCAGCACCAGGGCGGGCGUGUGCUCUGAAACAAAGCCCACCCCAGGAGGGGAAAAACAAGCUCUGAAGGCUCACCGACACUUUUGCAAACAUCCAACUUCACGGAGACCCUAGCCCUGUGAACUGCCAGAAUCACCCACAGCAAUAGGUCCUGNNNNNNNNNNNNNNNNNNNNNNNNNNNNNNNNNNNNNNNNNNNNNNNNNNNNNNNNNNNNNNNNNNNNNNNNNNNNNNNNNNNNNNNNNNNNNNNNNNNGAACUGCCAGAAUCACCCACAGCAAUAGGUCCUGAGCACGCUGACGCCCAGCUGGCAGAGGGGGCUGCCCAGGUCUCAGCACGACAGCAAACUCCU
rnacentral:lncRNA from 1 species